rnacentral:lncRNA from 1 species
GGGUAUAUAAGUCAAUGUGAAUUAUUGCUCCACACACACUCAGCCAAGUAGUCGGUUAUCCAGCCUCACUAUCUCUUCCUUAAGUGAUCUAUCAGCCCAGUGCAUCAACCCAAGAUGAACUUCCUCCGUGCCUUGGUAGUGCUCCUGGUCGUGGUGGUCUCCCUGGCCACGGUCACCAACGCUAGUCCAUUAUUUGGUCUUUUUGGUGGUCGUCGAGGUCGAGGUGGUCGUUCACGCUCUAGGUCUUCCGGUGUCGGAACCCGGGAGGUCCCAGACCCCUACGCCUACGCCGCCCCACAAUUCGCCGGUGCCUUCCCUGUAUUCCCCAACUUCGUCACUGGAGUUGGUCGUUGAGACAUUCUUGAGAACAUCGUGUUUCUCUACGAUGUACCAACUGCAUAAGUCACUGUGCCGUACGGUGUUCUCUUGACUGAGACUCCGACGAGGCAUUAAGGCGCCAACCAGGCCAUCUUAGGCCGCCACUACAUGGCACCUGGUCUAGGGGUACCUAGGCCUCCACAUGCUUCACCCUGGUGAGUGUGAGUUCCAGAUGGCCCCACAUACCUCAUCAACCUGAUGAGUGUCAGUGAGUGCCAAAUGGCUCCGUUUAUGGAGGUACUACACCCCGAGACCAACCUUCCCCACAGGCCGGAAGAGUUGCAGAGUCGAGAGAAAAAUCUUCAGAUUGUCUCCUGACUGGUGACGAAAUCCGACAAAUUUUGGCUGUUUAUUGAGUUUAGUCACGAGACGAGAGAAGUCGCCCAGUGCGAGUCUUUUGUGUGGCUCAUCAUCAUGUGUGUUUCUGAGAGUGUUUUGCUGCGAGUAGACCCAAGUCUGGCUCCCAGCUGACAGUUCACAGCUGCGAGUAGACCCAAGUCUGGCUCCCAGCUGACAGUUCACAGCUGCGAGUAGACCCAAGUCUGGCUCCCAGCUGACAGUUCACAGCUGCGAGUAGACCCAAGUCUGGCUCCAAGCUGACAGUUCACAGCUGCGAGUAGACCCAAGUCUGGCUCCCAGCUGACAGUGCAGAGCUGUGACCGGACAUACGUCUGGCUUCCAGCUGGCUCCUUCAAGCAAUGCUUGAAAUUUACUUUUAUCUGUGAUAAUUACUUUUCUAAUAACAUAGAAUAAUAAGUUAGGCUUUGCUGUUAAUAAGAAAUAACACUUAAUCUUGUAAUCUAAAUCUUGCAAAUGUAUAAUAAAUAUUUUUGUACACAAAUCACAAA